GUGACCUUUGAGGAUGUGGCUAUAAACUUCACCCAGGAGGAGUGGGCUUUGUUGGAUCUUCCCAGAAGAAUCUCUACAGAUGUGACAUGGGAAAUCAUCAGGAACCUGAUGUCUGUAGUCUACAUUUUAGGGAUAAAAUGUGAAGACCAGACCAUUGAAGAUCAGAACAGUAAUUCCAGAAGAAAUCUAAGAAGUAAUAUGGUAGAGUCGGUGAAAGUAAAGAAGGUGGUCAGUGUGAAGAAAUCU